rnacentral:rRNA from 1 species
AUUGAACGCUGGCGGCAUGCCUAACACAUGCAAGUCGAACGAGUGGCGGACGGGUGAGUAACGUCUGGGAACCUGCCUGAUGGAGGGGGAUAACUACUGGAAACGGUAGCUAAUACCGCAUACCAUCGGAUGUGCCCAUAUGGGAUUAGCCAGUUGGUGGGGUAAAGGCUCACCUAGGCGACGAUCCCUAGCUGGUCUGAGAGGAUGACCAGCCACACUGGAACUGAGACACGGUCCAGACUCCUACGGGAGGCAGCAGUGGGGAAUAUUGCACAAUGGGCGCAAGCCUGAUGCAGCCAUGCCGCGUGUAUGAAGAAGGCCUUCGGGUUGUAAAGGACUUUCAGCAGGGAGGCGUUACCCGAAGAAUAAGCACCGGCUAACUCCGUGCCAGCAGCCGCGGUAAUUC